GAUGAACGCUGGCGGCGUGCCUAAUACAUGCAAGUCGAGCGAACGGACGAGAAGCUUGCUUCUCUGAUGUUAGCGGCGGACGGGUGAGUAACACGUGGAUAACCUACCUAUAAGACUGGGAUAACUUCGGGAAACCGGAGCUAAUACCGGAUAAUAUUUUGAACCGCAUGGUUCAAAAGUGAAAGACGGUCUUGCUGUCACUUAUAGAUGGAUCCGCGCUGCAUUAGCUAGUUGGUAAGGUAACGGCUUACCAAGGCAACGAUGCAUAGCCGACCUGAGAGGGUGAUCGGCCACACUGGAACUGAGACGCGGUCCAGACUCCUACGGGAGGCAGCAGUAGGGAAUCUUCCGCAAUGGGCGAAAGCCUGACGGAGCAACGCCGCGUGAGUGAUGAAGGUCUUCGGAUCGUAAAACUCUGUUAUUAGGGAAGAACAUAUGUGUAAGUAACUGUGCACAUCUUGACGGUACCUAAUCAGAAAGCCACGGCUAACUACGUGCCAGCAGCCGCGGUAAUACGUAGGUGGCAAGCGUUAUCCGGAAUUAUUGGGCGUAAAGCGCGCGUAGGCGGUUUUUUAAGUCUGAUGUGAAAGCCCACGGCUCAACCGUGGAGGGUCAUUGGAAACUGGAAAACUUGAGUGCAGAAGAGGAAAGUGGAAUUCCAUGUGUAGCGGUGAAAUGCGCAGAGAUAUGGAGGAACACCAGUGGCGAAGGCGACUUUCUGGUCUGUAACUGACGCUGAUGUGCGAAAGCGUGGGGAUCAAACAGGAUUAGAUACCCUGGUAGUCCACGCCGUAAACGAUGAGUGCUAAGUGUUAGGGGGUUUCCGCCCCUUAGUGCUGCAGCUAACGCAUUAAGCACUCCGCCUGGGGAGUACGACCGCAAGGUUGAAACUCAAAGGAAUUGACGGGGACCCGCACAAGCGGUGGAGCAUGUGGUUUAAUUCGAAGCAACGCGAAGAACCUUACCAAAUCUUGACAUCCUUUGACAACUCUAGAGAUAGAGCUUUCCCCUUCGGGGGACAAAGUGACAGGUGGUGCAUGGUUGUCGUCAGCUCGUGUCGUGAGAUGUUGGGUUAAGUCCCGCAACGAGCGCAACCCUUAAGCUUAGUUGCCAUCAUUAAGUUGGGCACUCUAAGUUGACUGCCGGUGACAAACCGGAGGAAGGUGGGGAUGACGUCAAAUCAUCAUGCCCCUUAUGAUUUGGGCUACACACGUGCUACAAUGGACAAUACAAAGGGCAGCGAAACCGUGAGGUCAAGCAAAUCCCAUAAAGUUGUUCUCAGUUCGGAUUGUAGUCUGCAACUCGACUACAUGAAGCUGGAAUCGCUAGUAAUCGUAGAUCAGCAUGCUACGGUGAAUACGUUCCCGGGUCU
rnacentral:rRNA from 1 species